UAGCGUAGGGCGCAAGCGUUAUCCGGAAUUAUUGGGCGUGAAGAGCUCGUAGGCGGUUUGUCGCGUCUGCCGUGAAAGUCCGGGCUCAACUCCGGAUCUGCGGUGGGUACGGGCAGACUAGAGGUGAUGUAGGGGAGACUGGAAUUCCUGGUGUAGCGGUGAAAUGCGCAGAUAUCAGGAGGAACACCGAUGGCGAAGGCAGGUCUCUGGGCAUUAACUGACGCUGAGGAGCGAAAGGCAUGGGGAGCGAACAGG
rnacentral:rRNA from 1 species